AAGAAAUACAAGCUCGCGUUACAAAGAAUAUUUCCCUGGUUUAUCAGCUCUCCCCCUCCCAGCUGGGGCUCAGAAUGAUUUCUUAGUUCCCAGCUUUUAUGCCUCUGAUCAAAGUGCCUGAGGCGGUGAGAGUUGGCGGCACCUGCAUUUCCGACUGAGUCCAACGCUUUCCUCUUCAGGACUGUUGGGAGAACCUGCGGCUCCUGGGCUUUGCACAGUUGCCCUUCAGAGGACUGGAGUGGGUGAUUGAACCUCUCUGCUUGAGAAAGAGAAGUUGCUCCAGGUGUUGCAUUGGCUACUGUUCAGAGGACACUCCUUGUAUAAGAAAGGUCCAGAAGAUGGUACCACGUGUAGAGAGGCGGGGCCCUCACAGCUGCUCAGAGUAUCCAG